GACGAACGCUGGCGGCGUGCCUAAUACAUGCAAGUAGAACGCACAGUUUAUACCGUAGCUUGCUACACCAUAGACUGUGAGUUGCGAACGGGUGAGUAACGCGUAGGUAACCUGCCUGGUAGCGGGGGUUAACUAUUGGAAACGAUAGCUAAUGCCGCAUAAUAUUAAUUAUUGCAUGAUAAUUAAUUGAAAGGUGCAAUUGCACCACUACCAGAUGGACCUGCGUUGUAUUAGCUAGUAGGUGAGGUAACGGCUCACCUAGGCGACGAUACAUAGCCGACCUGAGAGGGUGAUCGGCCACACUGGGACUGAGACACGGCCCAGACUCCUACGGGAGGCAGCAGUAGGGAAUCUUCGGCAAUGGACGAAAGUCUGACCGAGCAACGCCGCGUGAGUGAAGAAGGUUUUCGGAUCGUAAAGCUCUGUUGUAAGAGAAGAACGGGUGUGAGAGUGGAAAGUUCACACUGUGACGGUAUCUUACCAGAAAGGGACGGCUAACUACGUG
rnacentral:rRNA from 1 species